GUUUCUAUUUUUUUAUUUUCCUGGUACACCGUUUUUAUCUUUGAGAGGCACUAUUAGAGCCCUCCAUAUUAAUUCUAGAAGAGAGUUACAAAGAACCAUCGGUUGUGCUAGCUAAUGAAAUGUAAGGCGUUACAUUGUAGAUUGGUUCGAGAGAGAGUAUGGUUCAUUACUAUAGACCUGUGUGUGACAAAAGAAAUAUAUUAAUUCUAGUGGACAUUGUUUUCCUCCACAAAUGAGCUAGAUCCAUGUGGGAUGUGACAAUGGAAGUGCUGAGCAAAGAAGUGGUUUGGUGGGGAUGGCAUGCUUUAUUUUCUCUACUUUAAUUAUCAUGUGCCUUUUGUCCUUUUACAUAUUAUAUCUCUCCCU
rnacentral:lncRNA from 1 species